AAUAUAGUCCUGUAUGGAUGCUUAUUUUGUUCCUACAUUUAUUAUAACGGGAGAUAAGACUCUUACGGACGUGAAGUAUACCCGCCGAUUUUUAAAUCGCCAGCGGGAAACGGAUAGUUCGGGGCGAUCACCCACCUGCGAGAACACGCAGGUAACAAAAUCACAUCUGUAUAGGGCUAUAAAU
rnacentral:sRNA from 1 species